GGCCAGACUCCUACGGGAGGCAGCAGUGGGGAAUAUUGCACAAUGGGGGAAACCCUGAUGCAGCAACGCCGCGUGGGUGAAGGAGCGUUUCGGCGCGUAAAGCCCUGUCAGCGGGGAAGAAGAAAGACGGUACCCGACCAAGAAGCCCCGGCUAACUACGUGCCAGCAGCCGCGGUAAUACGGAGGGUGCGAGCGUUAAUCGGAAUUACUGGGCGUAAAGCGCUCGUAGGCGGUAUGUCAAGUCAAGGGUGAAAUCCCCGCGCUCAACGUGGGAACUGCCUUUGAAACUGGCAAACUGGAGUGUGUGAGAGGAUAGUGGAAUUCCAGGUGUAGGAGUGAAAUCCGUAGAUAUCUGGAGGAACAUCAGUGGCGAAGGCGACUAUCUGGCACAUAACUGACGCUGAGGAGCGAAAGCGUGGGUAGCAAACAGGAUUAGAUACCCCGGUAGC
rnacentral:rRNA from 1 species